GAAGAGAUAUGGAUAUAAGUAUCCCUUUGAUCUGAGAUCAUCAUGGUGACUUGCAAGCAACUCACUAUGCUUUGAUGCCAAACUACCUAAAUUUUUAAUUCAGGAUCAGAAGGUUUCUAAGUAUAGUCAAGUACUUAUAAAGUUAGUGCAUGAGUCAAGAUGAAAAUGAUCACUCCAAAAGAUUGGAAGAAUAUUUUGUGUUUCAAUUUAGUAAGAUCUUGGCCAGGACAGUCCUUGUGAGGAGUCAUAGGAUUUAUUAGAUUGAGACACAUAAUGGAUGUACUGUUAAGAGUUGACAGUUUAAACUCUAAGUCAUCCUAGUAUCAAGGAUGAAGGGAUGAAUUAUAUGGUAAUUAACUAUAUUCAAGUAGGUUCUUGAGUGUUGUUUUGCAUACAUUCGGCCUAUCCGGAUGUCAAAUAUCAUUGCUAGAUGGUUACUCCGAUUGGUACAGAAAUCUAUUUCUAUACUAUCAAAUUUGA
rnacentral:lncRNA from 1 species